UCUGAGACAGAAAGCAGGGCACAGGAUGUGGACACAGGAGCUGGCAGUAGUGUUCACAUGGCCAAUCCACUGACCACUGGCUCCAAGAAAUGCCAAGGGUGAAGCUAUGUAUAUCUUGAGACUGUGAAUUCAUCUUAAAGAUCACAUUCAACACACUGGUGUAAAGUACAGACUACUAA